UACAGGGGGUGCAAACGUUGUCCGGAAUUACUGGGCGUAAAGAGCUCGUAGGUGGUUUGUCGCGUUGUUCGUGAAAACUCACAGCUUAACUGUGGGCGUGCGGGCGAUACGGGCAGACUUGAGUACUGCAGGGGAGACUGGAAUUCCUGGUGUAGCGGUGGAAUGCGCAGAUAUCAGGAGGAACACCGGUGGCGAAGGCGGGUCUCUGGGCAGUAACUGACGCUGAGGAGCGAAAGCGUGGGGAGCGAACAGG
rnacentral:rRNA from 1 species